UUAUAUGUUGGUGUAAAGGCAUAAAAAAUUUUGAUUUUUUAGGGGAUGGUGUAAUUCCAUUAUAUAUAA
rnacentral:tRNA from 1 species